rnacentral:rRNA from 1 species
GACGAACGCUGGCGGCGCGCCUAACACAUGCAAGUCGAACGGAGCUAUUUCGACAGAUCCCUUCGGGUGACAUUGGCUUAGCUUAGUGGCGAACGGGUGAGUAACACGUGAGGAACCUGCCCUUCAGAGGGGGACAACAGUUGGAAAUGACUGCUAAUACCGCAUAUGCCUAAGUACCACAUGGUACAAUAGGGAAAGGAGGAAAUCCGCUGAUAGAUGGGCUUGCGUCUGAUUAGUAUAGUUGGUGGGGUAAAGGCCUACCAAGUCGACGAUCAGUAGCCGGACUGAGAGGUUGAACGGCCACAUUGGGACUGAGAUACGGCCCAG